rnacentral:rRNA from 1 species
AGCAGCCGCGGUAAUUCCAGCUCCAAUAGCGUAUAUUAAAGUUGUUGCAGUUAAAAAGCUCGUAGUUGAAUUUCGGGAUCAAGGAAUCGGUCAUGCCUCGGUAUGUACUGGUUUUAUUGGUUCUCACCUUCUAAAGAACCAUAAUGUCAUUUAUUUGAUGUUAUGGGGAAUUAGGACUGUUACCUUGAAAAAUUAGAGUGUUUAAAGCAAGCUCACGCUUGAAUACAUUAGCAUGGAAUAAUGAAAUAGGACAUCCGAUUCUAUUUUGUUGGUUUCUAGGAUCGAUGUAAUGAUUAAUAGGGAUAGUUGGGGGCAUUAGUAUUCAAUUGUCAGAGGUGAAAUUCUUGGAUUUAUUGAAGACUAACUACUGCGAAAGCAUUUGCCAAGGAUGUUUUCAUUAAUCAAGAACGAAAGUUAGGGGGAUCGAAGACGAUCAGAUACCGUCGUAGU